rnacentral:rRNA from 1 species
AUUGAACGCUGGCGGAAUGCUUUACACAUGCAAGUCGAACGGCAGCACGGGGCAACCUGGUGGCGAGUGGCGAACGGGUGAGUAAUACAUCGGAACGUGCCCAAUCGUGGGGGAUAACGUAGCGAAAGUUACGCUAAUACCGCAUACGAUCUACGGAUGAAAGCGGGGGAUCGCAAGACCUCGCGCGAGUGGAGCGGCCGAUGUCAGAUUAGGUAGUUGGUGGGGUAAAGGCUCACCAAGCCAACGAUCUGUAGCUGGUCUGAGAGGACGACCAGCCACACUGGAACUGAGACACGGUCCAGACUCCUACGGGAGGCAGCAGUGGGGAAUUUUGGACAAUGGGCGCAAGCCUGAUCCAGCCAUUCCGCGUGCAGGAUGAAGGCCUUCGGUUGUAAACUGCUUUGUACGGAACGAAACGGCGAGCUCUAAUACAGUUUGCUAAUGACGGUACCGUAAGAAUAAGACACCGGCUAACUACGUGCCAGCAGCCGCGGUAAU